GGGUGAGUAAUAUAUCGGAACGUACCCUUGGGUGGGGGAUAACUACGCGAAAGCGUAGCUAAUACCGCAUACGCACCAUGGUGGAAAGCGGGGGAUCGCAAGACCUCGCGCGCAAGGAGCGGCCGAUAUCUGAUUAGCUAGUUGGUGGGGUAAAAGCCUACCAAGGCGACGAUCAGUAGCUGGUCUGAGAGGACGACCAGCCACACUGGGACUGAGACACGGCCCAGACUCC
rnacentral:rRNA from 1 species